rnacentral:rRNA from 1 species
CGAUACUUGGUGUGAAUUGCAGAAUUCAGUGAAUCAUCGAAUCUUUGAACGCACCUUGCGCCCUUUGGUAUUCCGAGGGGCAUGCCUGUUUGAGUGUCAUUAGAUACCAUCAACCCUCUUUUGACUUCGGUCUCGAGAGUGGCUUGGAAGUGGAGGUCUGCUGGAGCCUAACGGAGCCAGCUCCUCUUAAAUGUAUUAGCGGAUUUCCCUUGCGGGAUCGCGUCUCCGAUGUGAUAAUUUCUACGUCGUUGACCAUCUCGGGGCUGACCUAGUCAGUUUCAAUAGGAGUCUGCUUCCAACCGUCUCUUGACCGAGACUAGCGACUUGUGCGCUAACUUUUGACUUGACCUCAAAUCAGGUAGGACUACCCGCUGAACUUAAGCAUAUC